CCCAAAAUUCCAUUCCGCUGCAACAAAUGGGCCAAUACGAAGAAUUAAAUACAUCCCGGCCUGGUGAACAAUCUUCACGAACUUGACCAGAUCGAACCUUUGCUCGAAAUAAUAAUUAGAGACAGAAGGCUCAUGACCGUUCCAAAACACAUAUGUUUCGAUCACAUCCCCCCCUCCUUCCUUUGCUGUUUGCACCAGCUCCGGCCACAUCCCAGGGAC
rnacentral:misc_RNA from 1 species